GAGUUUGAUCGUGGCUCAGGAUGAACGCUAGCGGCAGGCCUAAUACAUGCAAGACGAGCGGUAAAUGUUUCAGCAAUGAGAUAUGAGAGCGUCGUAAGGGUGCGUAACACGUAUGCAAUCUGCCCGGGACCGGAGCAUAGCUCGCCGAAAGGCGGAUUAACUCUCCAUAAGAUGGUGGUGCGGCAUCGCAGAGCCAUUAAAUCUCCGGAGGUCCUGGAUGAGCAUGCGGAUGAUUAGCUAGUUGGUGGUGUAACGGACCACCAAGGCGAUGAUCAAUAGGGGAACUGAGAGGUUGAUCCCCCACACUGGCACUGAGAUACGGGCCAGACUCCUACGGGAGGCAGCAGUAGGGAAUAUUGGACAAUGGGUGCAAGCCUGAUCCAGCCAUGCCGCGUGCAGGAAGAAGGCUUUCUGAGUUGUAAACUGCUUUUGCCAGGGGAUAAAAUACGGAUGCGUCCGGAAUUGAAGGUACCUGGUGAAUAAGCC
rnacentral:rRNA from 1 species